UACGGAGGGUGCGAGCGUUGUCCGGAAUCACUGGGCGUAAAGGGCGCGUAGGUGGCGCGGGCAGUCAACGGUGAAAGUUCGGGGCUCAACCCUGAAUCGGCCGUCGAUACUCCCGUGCUUGAGCACUGUAGAGGCAGAUGGAAUUCCGGGUGUAGCGGUGGAAAGCGUAGAGAUCCGGAAGAACACCGGUGGCGAAGGCGGUCUGCUGGGCAGUAGCUGACACUGAGGCGCGACAGCGUGGGGAGCAAACAGG
rnacentral:rRNA from 1 species